GACGAACCGUGCGAACGUUAUUCGGAAUCACUGGGCUUAAAGCGCGUGUAGGCGGGCCGGCACGUCGGCCGCUGAAAUCCCCCGGCUCAACCGGGGAAGGGGCGCCGAUACGACCGGCCUGGAGGGACGUAGGGGGGGCUGGAACUUCCGGUGGAGCGGUGAAAUGCGUUGAGAUCGGAAGGAACGCCCGUGGCGAAAGCGAGCCCCUGGACGUCUACUGACGCUGAGACGCGAAAGCCAGGGGAGCGAACGGG
rnacentral:rRNA from 1 species